rnacentral:lncRNA from 1 species
CCGCCUACAAUACAGUCCUACAAAACCAUCGUGCAAAUUCUACCUGCCACCUAUCUUCCAGCAAAACCAUCUACCAUCUCAAAAAAACCACCUGCCAUCUCAAAAAGCCACCACGCCGUAUAAAAAAAAACCACCAUCUGAAAAACACUCUGCCAUCUCUGAAAACCACCCGCCAUCUUAGAAAACUGCCAUCUGAAAAAUACCCUAGCAUCUAAAAAAACUGCCAUAUGAAAAACACCCAACCAUAUCAGAAAACCGCCCACCGUCUAAAAAAAUUGCCAUUUGAGAAACACCUUGCCAUCUCAGAAAACCGCCCGCCAUUUAAAACCACUCAUCAAAUAUCUUAUAAAUCGGCCUUUCAUCAGGAAAACCCCAUUUGAAACCGCUAUUAGAAACCGCCCAUUAAACUAUUUGAAAUCAGUUUUUUUUUAAAAAAGGAUCUGAUUUUGUCACUUCACUUUUCUCGAUGGCUGCUGACGAUAUGCCGUUCAAAUUUGAGGCCUGAUCUUAAGCAUUUUUAGUCGACCCUCACAUAUAAAUCAGUUUGUCCCUCGGGGCUUUUCCUGUUUUUCUGGAUCCAUUGUGUCUGCAAUUUCUGGUACGCUUCUUUGGCCAGGUUUUCCGACCUUUAUUAAAUUUUUCGGCCAUCUC